rnacentral:tRNA from 5 species
GGGUUGUUAGCUCAGUUGGUAGAGCAGCGGACUCUUAAUCCGUAGGUCCACAGUUCGAAUCUGUGACAACCCACCA